rnacentral:rRNA from 1 species
AUCUAGGGCCAUACCACCCUGAAAGCAUGCGAUCUCAUCUGAUAUAGGAAGUUAAGUGGGGUCAGGCCUGGUUACUAGUUG